rnacentral:rRNA from 1 species
UUUUUCUACGGGGGGCAGCAGUAGGGAAUUUUCGUCAAUGGGCGCAAGCCUGAACGAGCAAUGCCGCGUGAACGAGGAAGGUCUUCGGAUCGUAAAGUUCUGUUGAAGGGGAAAAAGAGCGGAGAGAGGAAAUGAACUCCGAUUGAUAUUACCCUUCGAGGAAGUCACGGCUAACUACGUGCCAGCAGCCGCGGUAAUACGGAGGAUGCGAGCGUUAUCCGGAUUUAUUGGGUUU